ACGAACGCUGGCGGCGUGCUUAACACCUGCAAGUCGAACGGAAAGGCCCUGCUUGCAGGGUACUCGAGUGGCGAACGGGUGAGUAACACGUGGGUGAUCUGCCCUGCACUUCGGGAUAAGCCUGGGAAACUGGGUCUAAUACCGGAUAGGAGCCAUUUUUAGUGUGAUGGUUGGAAAGUUUUUUCGGUGUAGGAUGAGCUCGCGGCCUAUCAGCUUGUUGGUGGGGUAAUGGCCUACCAAGGCGGCGACGGGUAGCCGGCCUGAGAGGGUGGACGGCCACAGUGGGACUGAGAUACGGCCCAGACUCCUACGGGAGGCAGCAGUGGGGAAUAUUGCACAAUGGGCGCAAGCCUGAUGCAGCGACGCCGCGUGGGGGAUGACGGCCUUCGGGUUGUAAACUCCUUUCGCUAGGGACGAAGCUUUUUGUGACGGUACCUAGAUAAGAAGCACCGGCUAACUACGUG
rnacentral:rRNA from 1 species